UACAGAGGUCUCAAGCGUUGUUCGGAUUCAUUGGGCGUAAAGGGUGCGUAGGCGGUGAGGUAAGUCUGGUGUGAAAUCCCGGAGCUCAACUCCGGAACUGCACUGGAUACUGCCUUACUUGAGUACUGGAGAGGGAACUGGAAUUUACGGUGUAGCAGUGAAAUGCGUAGAUAUCGUAAGGAAGACCAGUGGCGAAGGCGAGUUCCUGGACAGUUACUGACGCUGAGGCACGAAGGCCAGGGGAGCAAACGGG
rnacentral:rRNA from 1 species